GUGUAACAUCUACAUAACAUGGCUACCUGGCUUGGUGGAUGACGGCACAACCCUUCCCAGAUCCAGCUGCCUUCCUUUGUUUCCCCUGGCUCCCGCUGCGCUUUGCAACAGAACAUUACGUAGGGCAGCCAAGAAUGAUGAGGAGAAGGCUCCGGAAUCUCCAGAUAACAAUUUGAGAUUUCCAUUCAUAGAUGAAAACUGAUGCAACCGGUGACUCUCGAAGGCAGAAGCCCACUGGGCCUGGGUUUUCCUAAUGCCAUUUGCAAAUCCAGAGGUGACGCUGGCUCUUAUUAUCAGUGGGAUUCUGCUGCUAGAUCGUUACUAAAGAGAAACCAGCCUACACCAAGGAAAGGACUUAAAC